UACGUAGGGUGCAAGCGUUAAUCGGAAUUACUGGGCGUAAAGCGUGCGCAGGCGGUUAAUGUAAGACAGGUGUGAAAUCCCCGGGCUUAACCUGGGAACUGCAUUUGUGACUGCAUAGCUAGAGUACGGUAGAGGGGGGAUGGAAUUCCGCGUGUAGCAGUGGAAAUGCGUAGAUAUGCGGAGGAACACCGAUGGCGAAGGCAAUCCCCUGGGACCUGUACUGACGCUCAUGCA
rnacentral:rRNA from 1 species